rnacentral:rRNA from 1 species
AUUGAACGCUGGCGGCAGGCCUAACACAUGCAAGUCGAACGAGUGGCGGACGGGUGAGUAAUGUCUGGGAAACUGCACGAAGGAGGGGGAUAACUACUGGAAACGGUAGCUAAUACCGCAUACCAUCGGAUGUGCCCAGAUGGGAAUAGAUAGUAUGUGGGGUAACGGCUCACCUAGGCGACGAUACCUAGCUGGUCUGAGAGGAUGACCGGCCACACUGGGACUGGGACACGGGCCAGACUCCUACGGGAGGCAGCAGUGGGGAAUAUUGGACAAUGGGCGCAAGCCUGAUGCAGCCAUGCCGCGUGUAUGAAGAAGGCCUUCGGUUUGUAAAGUACUUUCAUCGGGGAGGCGUUACUCGCAGAGGAAGCACCGGCUAACUCCGUGCCAGCAGCCGCGGUAAUAC